rnacentral:snoRNA from 2 species
AUCCUCUCAGGAUCACACCUGGAGAGUUUCCAGGACUCUACCAAUCUCAGCUACGGGAGGGAGAGUCAAGCAGAGGCAUCGCCAUUUCAUUCCUAGCUUGGGCAGUGGCUAGCGAGUGGAAGGCAAUCUGCUACAAGU